UAGCAUAUCAAUAAGCGGAGGAAAAGAAACCAACAGGGAUUGCCCUAGUAACGGCGAGUGAAGCGGCAACAGCUCAAAUUUGAAAUCUGGCUUCGGCCCGAGUUGUAAUUUGCAGAGGAUGCUUUUGGUGCGGUGCCUUCCGAGUUCCCUGGAACGGGACGCCACAGAGGGUGAGAGCCCCGUAUGGUCGGACACCAAUCCUGUGUAAAGCUCCUUCGACGAGUCGAGUAGUUUGGGAAUGCUGCUCUAAAUGGGAGGUAAAUCUCUUCUAAAGCUAAAUACCGGCCAGAGACCGAUAGCGCACAAGUAGAGUGAUCGAAAGAUGAAAAGCACCUUGAAAAGGGGGUUAAACAGUACGUGAAAUUGUUGAAAGGGAAGCACUUGUGACCAGACUUGGGCCGGGCGGCUCAUCAGGGGUUCUCCCCUGUGCAUUCCGCCCGGUACAGGCCAGCAUCGGUUCUUACCGGGGGAUAAGAACGGCAGGAACGUGGCUCCCUCUCGGGGGAGUGUUAUAGCCUGCCGUACGAUACCCUGGCGGGGACCGAGGUUCGCGCUUCCGCAAGGAUGCUGGCGUAAUGGUUACUAGUGACCCGUCUUGAAACACGGACCAAGGAGUCGUCCAUUAGAGCGAGCGUUUGGGUGUAAAACCCGCACGCGUAAUGAAAGUGAAAUUAGGUGAGAGCUUCGGCGCAUCAUCGACCGAUCCUGAUGUUCUCGGAUGGAUUUGAGUAAGAGUUUUAACGGACGGACCCGAAAGACAGUGAACUAUGCUUGUAUAGGGUGAAGCCAGAGGAAACUCUGGUGGAGGCUCGCAGCGGUUCUGACGUGCAAAUCGAUCGUCAAAUAUGAGCAUGGGGGCGAAAGACUAAUCGAACUGUCUAGUAGCUGGUUACCGCCGA
rnacentral:rRNA from 1 species